rnacentral:tRNA from 1 species
UUAAUUGAAGCCAAAAAUUAGGCAUAUUAUUGUUAAUAAUAGAUUUGAAUAAAAAAUUCCAAUUAAA